UAUAUCGGAACGUGCCUAGUAAUGGGGAAUAACUAGCUGAAAGGUUAGCUAAUGCCGCAUACGACCUACGGGUGAAAGCAGGGGAUCUUCGGACCUUGCGUUAUUAGAGCGGCCGAUAUCUGAUUAGCUUGUUGGUGGGGUAAUGGCCUACCAAGGCGACGAUCAGUAGCUGGUCUGAGAGGACGAUCAGCCACACUGGAACUGAGACACGGUCCAGACUCCUACGGGAGGCAGCAGUGGGGAAUUUUGGACAAUGGGGGCAACCCUGAUCCAGCCAUUCCGCGUGAGUGAAGAAGGCCU
rnacentral:rRNA from 1 species